GCUGAGGAGUGAUGACAAUAAAAGGCCGAAUUGCAGUGCCUCCAGCAAGCAGUUUGCUCUCCUUGGAAGCACAAUGACAAAAAUCAUCCGAAGCGUUAUCACUAGUCUGACCUCAGU